GUAACAACUCACCUGCCGAAUGAAUUAGCCCUGAAAAUGGAUGGCGCUGAAGCGGACGGCUUAUACAUCGCCAUCAGGGCAGGCUGUAGGCCCUGAUGAGUAGGAGGGCGUGGGGCUUGUAACGCAGGCCUGGGCGCGAGCCCGGCUGAAACAGGCUCUAGUGCAGAUCUUGGUGAUAGUAGCAAAUAUUCAAAUGAGAAAUUUUUAAGGGGGAAGGGGGG
rnacentral:rRNA from 1 species